AAGAUUUUAUUCUGUUCGUGUUUCUCAUAUUUGACGGGUGAAAGCAAACCAACAAAAAUGUUCAUAAUUUUUAUGGAUGAAAUUUCACUCUGUAAAUAGAGCCAAAAUUAAUUAUUUUUUCCAAAACAAGAAAUAUUACCGAAAUAAUUAUGGAAAAUUAAUGGAAACGAAACCCGGUAAGUGGCGAGUCGCCGCCGGCGCGCCUUCCAGCCCGUUGAGCUGUUUGAGCAUUUUGAAUCACUUUUAACUAAUCACCAUUUGCUAGCUCUGACUUUGGGCCGCCAGUAUUAGAACCCCGAACAGCUCAAAUAUCUCCCAUGCCUUAACACUCUUGAGAAUACCUUAACAAAUACGAGCCAACGGUCUGGUCAACUAAAACAUUUUGUGUCUGAAGAAUUUGACAUCAAAUCGCGCAGUAAAAUUGCACCGUGUGGAAGGUUUCUUUGUGGUAUCACGAGGAAAAACCUUUCCCGUUGAUAAGUUAACAAUGCAUCCCUCGCUUAUUUUCAGACGGGUGUUCCUAUCAGAAACAGAACAAGGAAAUGAUGAAGAAAAGAUUUGUAAUGUUAAAGUUUUUGCAAAACAUUUGAAUCCUCAGGUUAAAAUGGUCCGCGUAAAAAGACAGCUUUUCUUACGUUGUGCCUUUGCGUGUGUUGCAGUGCUUGUUUUAAAUUUCUUUGAUAUUUUUACUAGCACAAACAAUUUGGAGCCAACAACGGAGCUUGCAAAUCAGGAUUCUGCAGACUGUCCCACACAGCCAAUUGUCACUGUCUUCCAUGGCGGUCGACUGGCCAACCAUAUUUUUCAAUAUGCGACUGCGUAUAUAGUGGCUAAAUAUCUCAAACGGCCUGCGUACCUACCCCAGGCAACCAUGGAAACCCUCUGGUCUCUUUUCGGCCACCUCACGUUCAAUACUACCCUCGAAGAAAUCAUGCUGAAAUGCCCAAUCACCUUGGAAUUGAAAUCAACGCCUAUUGAAGACACACGUACCCUUGAUCAACCCUUCACAGAAGUCGAAAAUUUCAAAUCUGUAGACGUGGUUUUGCCCAAAAACUUGUUCUACUUGUGUUUGGUUUACAAACAUAUCGACGAGUUCAGAAGAGAGUUUCGUUUCCGACCGGAUAUCUUGGAUAGGGUCUAUCAUACGAUUGAGACUGCUGGAGGGACAAAUAAAACUCUAGUUGGUAUCCAUGUAAGAAGAUCUGACUACGGUCCAUACCUCAUCAGGGUCUUGAACGAGGGUCUCGUCAAUGCAUCCUAUUUUAAGAAUGCAAUGAAGUAUUACAGAGACAACUAUCGCGAGCCUCUGCUCUUUUUAAUAGUAAGCGACGAUAUCAAAUGGUGCGAAGAAAAUCUCCUUGUAGAAGAUGAUGUGAAAAUAGUCUCUGCAGACGUUGCGCAUGACAUCGCCCUAUUGAGUGUUUGCGACCACACUAUUAUCGACUACGGCACCUACGGAGUUAUUGGAGCUUACCUUUCAUUUGGGCACAAGGUCAUGGUUAACUUAAAGCAGAGACGUUAUUACGAGAUACUAAAAAAUGACGCUAAGUGGACAUUUUAUGACAAAGAAACGCUUGUUCCAAUUUGAUAAAACUCAUAGCAUUGUAUUAUUUAUUUGUUUAUUUAAAUGAUUCAAACACACUUUUUCCAAUCGAUGCAUUUCUAUGUUUCAAUAAUUCGUCGGGCUUUUUUCCUUUGUAAUUUUUUUCAUAAAACUAUUUGUAGGUGAUGACAUCACAAAAUAGUAUAUUUUUUCAUGAGUAGCAAAAUUUACUUUGUUUGCUACAUUCCCAAAAGCCAGAUCGAUAUUGAAAAUUUGAU